UACGUAGGGGGCUAGCGUUGUCCGGAUUUAUUGGGCGUAAAGAGCGUGUAGGCGGCCAGGUAGGUCUGGUGUGAAAACUCGAGGCUUAACCUCGAGAUGUCAUCGGAAACCAUCUGGCUAGAGUCCGGAAGAGGAGAGUGGAAUUCCUGGUGUAGCGGUGAAAUGCGCAGAUAUCUGGAGGAACACCGGUGGCGAAGGCGGCGUUCUGGACUGUUUCUGACACUGAAAAACGAAAGCCAGGGGAGCAAACGGG
rnacentral:rRNA from 1 species